rnacentral:rRNA from 1 species
GAUGAACGCUGGCGGCGUGCCUAAUACAUGCAAGUCGAGCGAAUGGAUUAAGAGCUUGCUCUUAUGAAGUUAGCGGCGGACGGGUGAGUAACACGUGGGUAACCUGCCCAUAAGACUGGGACAACUCCGGGAAACCGGGGCUAAUACCGGAUAAUAUUUUGAACUGCAUGGUUCGAAAUUGAAAGGCGGCUUCGGCUGUCACUUAUUGAUGGACCCGCGUCGCAUCAGCUAGUUGGUGAGGUAACGGCUCACCAAGGCAACGAUGCGUAGCCGACCUGAGAGGGUGAUCGGCCACACUGGGACUGAGACACGGCCCAGACUCCUACGGGAGGCAGCAGUAGGGAAUCUUCCGCAAUGGACGAAAGUCUGACGGAGCAACGCCGCGUGAGUGAUGAAGGCUUUCGGGUCGUAAAACUCUGUUGUUAGGGAAGAACAAGUGCUAGUUGAAUAAGCUGGCACCUUGACGGUACCUAACCUGAAAGCCACGGCUAACUACGUGCCAGCCGCCGCGGUAA